UUUGUUUGCUGGCUUCUUAUAAGUUGGAAUUAUGGUCAAUUAAGUUGUAAAUAUUUUUCAAAUUCACAUUUUAAAGAAAAAUACAGUCUGCCUAAAAUUUUUCAAAACUGCCUAUGUCACCUAACAAAUAAAAAAACAAGAAUUCCUACUUAAUAUUUUUUCAUUGAAGAAAAUAGAAAAAUCUAUUUCAAAAUACUUGGCUACCUUAUCAGGCCUAAAAGAACCACUUAUAGUCAGAAUGACUGAAGAAUUACAUCUGAAUUUUGGAACUCUUUUACUGAGAAAUAGAAAUUAUCCAAUGGAGGAUAUACUUUUAAUAUACUGACAUUUUUGUAGACAAUUAUUUUGUUAGAAGAUAUAGUUAUAGCCUAUAGUAUAUUAGCAGUCAUAUUUCCUUUGUGAGUGUGAUAUGUAUUUUCACCCAAAAACAUAUUUUAAGGACUUCUUAAUUCUUGAAAGCUUGUACUUUCCUUUGUUCCCUAAGGAGAAAAAGCCAAUGCUUAUGAUGAAAUAAAUGUGAACUCACAGCUAAUCAGGAGACUUUCAUAUGAAGGUUAUAGAUUAAAAUAAGUUUUUAAAGAAAUUUUUUUAAAAAAUUAAAACCUUUUUUCCCUAGGGAUUAGAAUAAACUCAUAAUGCCAGAGUACUUUGUUAACCCUAUGGAAGACACUGUGGGAAAGAAAUUCACAACUCUGCUUUCAUGUCACAUAUAAGGGAUGCUCACCACAAAUUGAUAGAGAAAAAGGAGAGUUAGGGUUCUGAAAAUGUAAUCUUAC
rnacentral:lncRNA from 1 species